GUAUGGUGCAAGCGUUAUCCGGAUUUACUGGGUGUAAAGGGAGCGCAGGCGGCGCGCUAAGUCUGAUGUGAAAGCCCGGGGCUCAACCGCGGGACUGCAUUGGAAACUGGCGCGCUGGAGUGCCGGAGAGGUAAGCGGAAUUCCUAGUGUAGCGGUGAAAUGCGUAGAUAUUAGGAGGAACACCAGUGGCGAAGGCGGCUUACUGGACGGUGACUGACGCUGAGGCUCGAAAGCGUGGGGAGCAAA
rnacentral:rRNA from 1 species